rnacentral:rRNA from 1 species
GACGAACGCUGGCGGCGUGCUUAACACAUGCAAGUCGAACGGAGUGCUCACGAAAGAGGUUUCGGCCAAUUGAGUGAGUUACUUAGUGGCGGACUGGUGAGUAACGCGUGAGGAACCUGCCUUUCAGAGGGGGACAACAGUUGGAAACGACUGCUAAUACCGCAUGAUGCAUUUGGGCCGCAUGGUCUGAAUGCCAAAGAUUUAUCGCUGAAAGAUGGCCUCGCGUCUGAUUAGCUGGUUGGAGGGGUAACGGCCCACCAAGGCGACGAUCAGUAGCCGGACUGAGAGGUUGACCGGCCACAUUGGGACUGAGAUACGGCCCAGACUCCUACGGGAGGCAGCAGUGGGGAAUAUUGGGCAAUGGACGCAAGUCUGACCCAGCAACGCCGCGUGAAGGAAGAAGGCUUUCGGGUUGUAAACUUCUUUUAAGAGGGAAGAGAAGAAGACGGUACCUCUUGAAUAAGCCACGGCUAACUACGUG